GACAGAGGAUGCAAGCGUUAUCCGGAAUGAUUGGGCGUAAAGCGUCUGUAGGUGGCUUUUAAGUCCGCCGUCAAAUCCCAGGGCUCAACCCUGGACAGGCGGUGGAAACUACCAAGCUGGAGUACGGUAGGGGCAGAGGGAAUUUCCGGUGGAGCGGUGAAAUGCGUAGAGAUCGGAAAGAACACCGGUGGCGAAGGCGGCCUGCUGGGCAGUUGCUGACACUGAGGCGCGACAGCGUGGGGAGCAACAGG
rnacentral:rRNA from 1 species